rnacentral:rRNA from 1 species
AAUCAACGCUGGCGGCGUGCCUCAGACAUGCAAGUCGAACGAUUAAACUUGCCUUCGGGCAAGAUAUAAAGUGGCGCACGGGUGAGUAACACGUAAGUAAUCUACCUUCGAGUGGGGAAUAACGUUCGGAAACGAACGCUAAUACCGCAUAAUGCAGCGGCACCAUAUGGUGACAGUUGUUAAAGGAAUUUAUUUCGCUUGAAGAGGAGCUUGCGGCAGAUUAGCUAGUUGGAAGGUAACGGCUUACCAAGGCUACGAUCUGUAACCGGUCUAAGAGGACGGUCGGUCACACUGACACUGAAUAACGGGUCAGACUCCUACGGGAGGCAGCAGUCGGGAAUUUUGGGCAAUGGGCGAAAGCCUGACCCAGCAACGCCGCGUGAAGGAUGAAGUAUUUCGGUAUGUAAACUUCGAAAGAAUGGGAAGAAUCAAUGACGGUACCAUUUAUAAGGUCCGGCUAACUACGUGCCAGCCGCCGCGGU